rnacentral:rRNA from 1 species
AACGAACGCUGGCGGCAUGCCUAACACAUGCAAGUCGAACGAGAUCUUCGGGUCUAGUGGCGCACGGGUGCGUAGCGCGUGGGAAUCUGCCCUUUGGUUCGGAAUAACAGUUGGAAACGACUACUAAUACCGGAUGAUGACGAAAGUCCAAAGAUUUAUCGCCAGAGGAUGAGCCCGCGUAGGAUUAGCUAGUUGGUGUGGUAAAGGCGAACCAAGGCGACGAUCCUUAGCUGGUCUGAGAGGAUGAUCAGCCACACUGGGACUGAGACACGGCCCAGACUCCUACGGGAGGCAGCAGUGGGGAAUAUUGGACAAUGGGCGAAAGCCUGAUCCAGCAAUGCCGCGUGAGUGAUGAAGGCCUUAGGGUUGUAAAGCUCUUUUACCCGGGAUGAUAAUGACAGUACCGGGAGAAUAAGCUCCGGCUAACUCCGUGCCAGCCGCCGCCGUAA